GUUUUUCAGCCCUUAGCACAUCACCCGUAAAUGGAGACAAGGUGAUCAAGAGAGGCUGAGGAGGGCUGAUAGUGGAGAGAAUUGUUGGAAAGCAUGAAUUUCCCCCACCACAGAAGAAAGGUAGGGGGGAAGUUAAAGGACGGGUUGGUUAUGGAGCUCCACUUGGAAAACCUGACAUGUGCCUAUGGAGUUUAAAGGUGGGAGGCACAGGGACUGAUGCCUGAUACCUACCUGGAGAAGCAAGAGCCAACGAAUCUCAACUGAGCAAACUGAUGAGCUUUUUGUCACUCUAAAUAUCUGUUGAGGGCUCUCGAUCUGCUAGAUCAAUCACAAUCUCAGCCCUCGGUAUCAAACUCCUUACCACACAUAGGAAAACUCGAGUCAGAGGGCAAGAGAGUCACCCAAGCUCCAUUACAGGUCAGUGACUAAGAAUUCUCAUUGUGCCUGCAUGUCUGUUUCUUUGCUUGUU
rnacentral:lncRNA from 1 species